rnacentral:rRNA from 1 species
UACGGGAGGCAGCAGCGGGGAAUAUUGCACAAUGGGCGCAAGCCUGAUGCAGCCAUGCCGCGUGUAUGAAGAAGGGCCUUCGGGUUGUAAAGUACUUUCAGUCGUGAGGAAGGUGUUAAGGUUAAUAACCUUAGCAAUUGACGUUAGCGACAGAAGAAGCACCGGCUAACUCCGUGCCAGCAGCCGCGGUAAUACGGAGGGUGCGAGCGUUAAUCGGAAUUACUGGGCGUAAAGGGCACGCAGGCGGUUAAUUAAGUUGGAUGUGAAAUCCCCGGGCUUAACCUGGGAAUGGCAUUCAAGACUGGUUAGCUAGAGUCUUGUAGAGGGGGUAGAAUUCCAUGUGUAGCGGUGAAAUGCGUAGAGAUGUGGAGGAAUACCGGUGGCGAAGGCGGCCCCUGGACAAAGGACUGACGCUCAUGUGCGAAAGCGUGGGGAGCAAACAGGGAUUAGAUACC